GACGAACGCUGGCGGCGUGCUUAACACAUGCAAGUCGAACGCUGAAGCUCAGCUUGCUGGGUGGAUGAGUGGCGAACGGGUGAGUAACACGUGAGUAACCUGCCCUCUUCUUUGGGAUAACGCCCGGAAACGGGUGCUAAUACUGGAUAUUCACUGAUUCUCGCAUGGGGGUUGGUGGAAAGGUUUUUUCUGGUGGGGGAUGGGCUCGCGGCCUAUCAGCUUGUUGGUGGGGUGAUGGCCUACCAAGGCUUUGACGGGUAGCCGGCCUGAGAGGGUGACCGGUCACAUUGGGACUGAGAUACGGCCCAGACUCCGACGGGAGGCAGCAGUGGGGAAGAUUGCACAAAUGGGCGAAAGCCUGAUGCAGCGACGCCGCGUGAGGGAUGGAGGCCUUCGGGUUGUAAACCUCUUUCGCUCAUGGUCAAGCCGCAGCUUUGGGUUGUGGUGAGGGUAGUGGGUAAAGAAGCGCCGGCUAACUACGUG
rnacentral:rRNA from 1 species